GGGUUGUGAGGUUAAGCGACUAAGCGUACACGGUGGAUGCCCUGGCAGUCAGAGGCGAUGAAGGACGUGCUAAUCUGCGAUAAGCGUCGGUAAGGUGAUAUGAACCGUUAUAACCGGCGAUUUCCGAAUGGGGAAACCCAGUGUGUUUCGACACACUAUCAUUAACUGAAUCCAUAGGUUAAUGAGGCGAACCGGGGGAACUGAAACAUCUAAGUACCCCGAGGAAAAGAAAUCAACCGAGAUUCCCCCAGUAGCGGCGAGCGAACGGGGAGCAGCCCAGAGCCUGAAUCAGUAUGUGUGUUAGUGGAAGCGUCUGGAAAGGCGCGCGAUACAGGGUGACAGCCCCGUACACAAAAAUGCACAUAUUGUGAGCUCGAUGAGUAGGGCGGGACACGUGGUAUCCUGUCUGAAUAUGGGGGGACCAUCCUCCAAGGCUAAAUACUCCUGACUGACCGAUAGUGAACCAGUACCGUGAGGGAAAGGCGAAAAGAACCCCGGCGAGGGGAGUGAAAAAGAACCUGAAACCGUGUACGUACAAGCAGUGGGAGCACGCUUAGGCGUGUGACUGCGUACCUUUUGUAUAAUGGGUCAGCGACUUAUAUUCUGUAGCAAGGUUAACCGAAUAGGGGAGCCGAAGGGAAACCGAGUCUUAACUGGGCGUUAAGUUGCAGGGUAUAGACCCGAAACCCGGUGAUCUAGCCAUGGGCAGGUUGAAGGUUGGGUAACACUAACUGGAGGACCGAACCGACUAAUGUUGAAAAAUUAGCGGAUGACUUGUGGCUGGGGGUGAAAGGCCAAUCAAACCGGGAGAUAGCUGGUUCUCCCCGAAAGCUAUUUAGGUAGCGCCUCGUGAAUUCAUCUCCGGGGGUAGAGCACUGUUUCGGCAAGGGGGUCAUCCCGACUUACCAACCCGAUGCAAACUGCGAAUACCGGAGAAUGUUAUCACGGGAGACACACGGCGGGUGCUAACGUCCGUCGUGAAGAGGGAAACAACCCAGACCGCCAGCUAAGGUCCCAAAGUCAUGGUUAAGUGGGAAACGAUGUGGGAAGGCCCAGACAGCCAGGAUGUUGGCUUAGAAGCAGCCAUCAUUUAAAGAAAGCGUAAUAGCUCACUGGUCGAGUCGGCCUGCGCGGAAGAUGUAACGGGGCUAAACCAUGCACCGAAGCUGCGGCAGCGACGCUGAUGCGUUGUUGGGUAGGGGAGCGUUCUGUAAGCCUGUGAAGGUGUGCUGUGAGGCAUGCUGGAGGUAUCAGAAGUGCGAAUGCUGACAUAAGUAACGAUAAAGCGGGUGAAAAGCCCGCUCGCCGGAAGACCAAGGGUUCCUGUCCAACGUUAAUCGGAGCAGGGUGAGUCGACCCCUAAGGCGAGGCCGAAAGGCGUAGUCGAUGGGAAACAGGUUAAUAUUCCUGUACUUGGUGUUACUGCGAAGGGGGGACGGAGAAGGCUAUGUUGGCCGGGCGACGGUUGUCCCGGUUUAAGCGUGUAGGCUGGUUUUCCAGGCAAAUCCGGAAAAUCAAGGCUGAGGCGUGAUGACGAGGCACUACGGUGCUGAAGCAACAAAUGCCCUGCUUCCAGGAAAAGCCUCUAAGCAUCAGGUAACAUCAAAUCGUACCCCAAACCGACACAGGUGGUCAGGUAGAGAAUACCAAGGCGCUUGAGAGAACUCGGGUGAAGGAACUAGGCAAAAUGGUGCCGUAACUUCGGGAGAAGGCACGCUGAUAUGUAGGUGAAGUCCCUCGCGGAUGGAGCUGAAAUCAGUCGAAGAUACCAGCUGGCUGCAACUGUUUAUUAAAAACACAGCACUGUGCAAACACGAAAGUGGACGUAUACGGUGUGACGCCUGCCCGGUGCCGGAAGGUUAAUUGAUGGGGUUAGCCGCAAGGCGAAGCUCUUGAUCGAAGCCCCGGUAAACGGCGGCCGUAACUAUAACGGUCCUAAGGUAGCGAAAUUCCUUGUCGGGUAAGUUCCGACCUGCACGAAUGGCGUAAUGAUGGCCAGGCUGUCUCCACCCGAGACUCAGUGAAAUUGAACUCGCUGUGAAGAUGCAGUGUACCCGCGGCAAGACGGAAAGACCCCGUGAACCUUUACUAUAGCUUGACACUGAACAUUGAGCCUUGAUGUGUAGGAUAGGUGGGAGGCUUUGAAGUGUGGACGCCAGUCUGCAUGGAGCCGACCUUGAAAUACCACCCUUUAAUGUUUGAUGUUCUAACGUUGACCCGUAAUCCGGGUUGCGGACAGUGUCUGGUGGGUAGUUUGACUGGGGCGGUCUCCUCCUAAAGAGUAACGGAGGAGCACGAAGGUUGGCUAAUCCUGGUCGGACAUCAGGAGGUUAGUGCAAUGGCAUAAGCCAGCUUGACUGCGAGCGUGACGGCGCGAGCAGGUGCGAAAGCAGGUCAUAGUGAUCCGGUGGUUCUGAAUGGAAGGGCCAUCGCUCAACGGAUAAAAGGUACUCCGGGGAUAACAGGCUGAUACCGCCCAAGAGUUCAUAUCGACGGCGGUGUUUGGCACCUCGAUGUCGGCUCAUCACAUCCUGGGGCUGAAGUAGGUCCCAAGGGUAUGGCUGUUCGCCAUUUAAAGUGGUACGCGAGCUGGGUUUAGAACGUCGUGAGACAGUUCGGUCCCUAUCUGCCGUGGGCGCUGGAGAACUGAGGGGGGCUGCUCCUAGUACGAGAGGACCGGAGUGGACGCAUCACUGGUGUUCGGGUUGUCAUGCCAAUGGCACUGCCCGGUAGCUAAAUGCGGAAGAGAUAAGUGCUGAAAGCAUCUAAGCACGAAACUUGCCCCGAGAUGAGUUCUCCCUGACUCCUUGAGAGUCCUGAAGGAACGUUGAAGACGACGACGUUGAUAGGCCGGGUGUGUAAGCGCAGCGAUGCGUUGAGCUAACCGGUACUAAUGAACCGUGAGGCUUAACCUUACAACGCCGAAGGUGUUU
rnacentral:rRNA from 1 species